CAGUAACAAAGAUUCAUCCUUGUGUCCACCAAGCAACAAGGAGGAUCUUUGUCACU
ensembl:miRNA MIR802 microRNA mir-802